GGCCGGGGCGCGGCGCGCCUGCGCGGGGCGGCGGUGACGCGCGGGGCGGGCCCGGCCGGCUUUAAGGCGCGGCCCCCCCCGGCAGCGCGCAGCCGGAGCGGCGGGGCUGGGCGGCGGCGGAAAAAACACCAGCCUGGUCCAGACACUGAAACUUGUCAACUGAUGGGAGCAAAGAGCUGAGACACUUGGCUGUUCUAGGACACUAAAACAUAGGGUUUAACCAGAGUUCCCCCCACGUGGAGGCUUGCACCUGCCAAACCUUGUAGCAUUCU